ACGUCCUGGAAAUGCAGAGCAGAGGAACCCUGAACCUGAAAAGGGUCUUACAGAGGAUUGUGCAACUCUAUCGUCUCAGGUACAGCAAGAAAACCCAGGCUCUAAGCACAGGAAGUGUGGAGAAGGAUAAGCAGGAAAUCUCAGGAUGAUACAGACUGUUCAGUACUCAACAAGGGAAGCCAUUGGCUUUGAAGGUUGCACUUUAAAAAGUUUAACUUUAACCCCAGCAAAGAAUCACUGGACUGUCUCCAGGCAAAGUCCUUGCAGAACAGAGAUAAACCUUUGUGGGAGGAGUUGUGGGAAUGUGGCGCUGGCUGUCCUGGAACUCACUCUAGACCAGGCUGGCCUCAAAUUUAUAGAUAUCUACCUGGUUUGCCUCCUAAGUGCUGGGAUUAAAGGUGUGCGCCACCACUGCCCAACAAGAUUUAGAUUUUGAUACCUCCCUUCCAUUGGAAUUGGUUAACAUUUCAGUUAAGAAGCCUGGAUUAAGUGAAGUCUUGCUUCAGGAAAGCCAAGAGAAGGAUUAUCUGCACCUAUACUGGCUAGUAAUGCCCUGGGCAUCCAGGCCAGGGAAGCUGAAACCCACUUUACCCUUGACCAGAAGAGGACACCAGACUUCAUUACAGAUGGUUGUGAGCCACCACGUGGUUGCCAGGAAUUGAACUCAGGACCUUUGGAAGAGCAGGCAGUGCUCUUAACCACUGAGCCAUCUCUCCAGCCCCUCCACUGCUUUCUUGAUUGAUCAGGACCUGACUAUGGGUCUCAACACCACACUGGGUAUCUCACAAUCACUUUAACUCCAACUCAAAUGGAUCCAGUGCCCUCUUCUGGCCUCCCAGGUACCUACACUCGUGUGUGUGUGUGUGUGUGUGUGU